GGGCUUGGCCUUGGCCGGUGGCGGGUUCGUCCUGGAGCCGGCUGGCAUUGGCUCUGUCAGACAUAGGGGAAGCUUCCGGCAGCUUCUCACAGAAGCCACCCCUGUAGCACUCCUGCUACCAAAACCUUGCCAUGCAAACCCAAUACAUUUCCUUUCAUGGAAGCUGCGUGUCUUGAGGAGGUACUGAUUUCUUUCACUCUUUUUAGUGAAUGAGUGGGCCUGGUUAGACUGUUUCUGUUCCUUCUUUAGGACAUUGAACAGUUGUGAGAAGAAGAGGUGUGUGGAAAAACUGGAGAAAUGUCUGCCUUAGUGAGGUGCCAAAAACUCACACACCAGCUUUCUCAAACUGUGAAGGAAUCUUCAAGGAGAGAGCAAGGAACAAUAUUUUCUUGUCAUGACAAAAUCACAGGAGCUGUAAUAUAAUAUGGAAAAGUUAUUUUCUUAUAAAUCAAAAGAAGCUGAGAUAAAGUAGGAGAAAAAGAAAAAAAAUGCUCUUGCAACUAGAUAACUUGAUAUGUAGUGUUUCUGUAAGAGCAGUUAGAAUUCUGGGGUCAUCCCCUAAGCAGAGCAUCUUUACCUGUGAGACAUUGGUAGUGUGAGCUUCACUGGAGAUAUUGGAAAGCAGCUGUCCAAUCUCUGGUAGCUCUGGGGUAUUUUGACUUGUUAGGAGAGAGAGUGUAGUAGUGUAUGAGCAUUUCAGUCUUGUUUUUAUUCCCUUGACAGUUGUGUACCGUGAUAUAAAGAUACAAGAAUGGCAAGGUGUCUGGGGAAAAAUAACACCAUCUUAGACCAGCUGAUAUAGAGUUCUAGUGCAUGCAGUCAUUCAGGCUAUUGCCACCAUGCAUCAACACUGAGCUCUAUGUUGGCUGAGGUAGUGUUUUUCAUCAUACACUAUUUAGUGAUCCUAACUUAAAGUCUUUUCCACCACUAUUGUAUUACAGUAUUGUCAUGAAAACUUGAAGUAUUGUGUUACAAUCUUGGAGUAAAAUGGAGGCAAGUUGCUUGGAGGAAAGCAGUUGCAAGAAGUGAGGUAGUUACUCUAUUUUGUUAUUAAGCAGACCUGGGAGAGGAUUUUUCUUAAACUCACAAAUAAGAGGCUGUAUAAGCAUGUGAGGAAUCAGCUGCGGGGGGGGAAGUUCCUUACCUGAGUUUGCCGGUGGAGAGGGAGGGAGAUAGUCCAGAUACUUGAGAGGAAGCAAACCUGAACUUGUAUCAUGUUAACCUGCCUUUCCUGGUACUAGUUAAAUCUUCCAGAAUAUGCCAUGUAGACUUUCUUCUUUGCCAGUUGAGUGAUAUACAAGUCAGGUAACAGAAAGAUGAUGAAAAUGCUGAAUGAUUUAAAAAUUAAUCUCACAAUAUAUUUGAAAUUAUUUUUAGUCUUUUAUAUGGUACCUUUUACGGAGGGGUGAAUUCUUCUGCCUGCCAAGAUGUAAUUCUUAAAUUGCAAAUUAAAGGGUAUAGUUUUGAUGAUCUUCAAGAUUGUUAGCAUUUUUAGUGAGCAAUCCUGAAAGGUUUUUCAUAAUAACUUCUGUAGGAAUGUUGUGGGAGGAUGAGUGGCUGAGGAAGGGGGAGUUUUGGAACAGUGCUCAGGCUUUUUUGACUUGUUGCUGCCUCCGUUUUCCUCCUCCUGAAUUGCUGUAAAUGUCUGGAACACCAGACCUGUGUUCCUUUCUCAUGGAUUUUGCUACAGGAUUGAGACUAGAAUAUGUAGUAUAUUUGAGACUUGUAAAAUAUUUCAAGAUUUGUAAAAUCUCAAGAGGAGCAAUAGAUGCUGCAUGUAGGAGUUGAUCAAUUAAGCUAGUUUUUAAAAGAGCACUGGAUUCAUAUUUACUUUAACAUGGCAGAAAAGAAUAGAUUUUGAAAAUACAGAAUACCAGAAAAUGUGGCUGUGUUAGCAUAGGCACUUUUAAUAAUAAAAAAGCUGACGUAUAUAUUAUUGUGGAGCAAUAUGUGGUAUUUGAGAGGAAGCAAUGUGAUCAUUAUUUGUAAACCUUUAGAGUUUGUUCCAUGUUUGGUACAGUUUUUAAAAAGAACAGAAAAAAACUCAUUCAUGUCCAUUUACGUGGUACCUUGUGUUAAUUAUGUUGCUAUUGCUUUUCUUUUGAAGAUUCUAAGGACCAGACUUUUAAUGGUUGCUACUAAUCAUACUGUGUUCCUUUUUAGGGCACCAUAUAUGUUAGAAGUACAAAAUCCUCAAGGAUCACAGGCAAGGUGUUUUACUAUUUCAAUGCAAGGUAGACAUGCAAAUAACAUAAAAGUAUACCAAUCCUAACAUACUGAUAGCUGUUACAUUCAUGAGAGUUCAAAAAUUUGAUUCUGUUGUACAGUGGAGAAUUGCUUCCUAUUGAAGAGUGCAGUUGGAUAAGUAACCUCUAAGUGAUGUUUGGGCUCUGCUCUAUCACUAAUGUAAUGUGACUAGUAAUCCUGAAGCUGACUAGAAAAGGCUGGGCUUUGGGUCUAGUGUGGAAUAAAAUCUUCGUGUGUGGGUUCACUCACUUCUUCCCGUGUAUCGCAACCUGACUCCUGUUCUGCGUUACUAUGCCAGUUAACAUGAGCUGAAAAACUAGCCUGUUUGAUUUGCUCUCUGUGUAUUCUCUUGCAGCAUGAAUGUCUUGAAUGUUGUCUUACUCAUGCCUGAAGCUUUUUCUACAGUUCUUUUAUUAAUCUGAAGAUGGUUCAGCAGAGUAAAAAUACCUUGCGGUACAAUAUGGGUUCAGCUGGCUAUAGAACCUGUAGGAUCUGGAAGGAAAGAUCACAGUGCUAUUCUAGGAAUGUGAUAUUUGACAUACAGCCUGAAUGGGUUUCAAAGAUUUUGUUCAUCAGAAGGACCUAUCAGGUUGUGUUGUUCCCUUUCAAAGUAAUCUUUGCAACUGCAAAAUGUAAAUGUGCUGAGAGUCUAGAAUACUUUAACAGCACUCAAACUGGUGAUGCAGUAAAGCAUUAAAAGGAGCAAGGAUAUGGGAAACACUGAGUUAUAAAGAGGUGCUGCCAGAUGCUGAUAACCUAAAGUUCUGAUGCCAGUACCUCUAACUUUUUGAUUUCUCAGCUAGUGGAGGGCUCAUGUAUGAGUUGGCUGAUGAAACAGUGGAUCAAAUGGAUUUAGUCAUUCUGUGACCAAACAGUUUCAUUUAGUGGUUCCAAGGAUCACAGUUCUAAGAAUCUGUAGGAAAACUGUCUUAAAUUGUCUUAAAUUUUAAUAUGAAAAAAUUCCUUUUCCAUGAGAGUCAGGUUUUGGGUUUUUUUUUCCUUCCUUGUCUCUGAAUUUUAGCUGGAAAAACAGAUUCUUAAAAUACUAAUUUGUUACCAAAGCAUCUAUAGAUGUGUUUUUUGAUACUGGGUAAACAGAAUCAAAAUUUAGUAUUGGAAUAGAACUUGUCAGUGGAUAGACAACUAAAAAAUUUCAGACUCUUAAAAAAAUUACCAGUAAAACUCAGUUAAAUUGUCAGCAUGCAUGGGCAGAUGUUAGAUACUUGCUUUUAAAGAAAAUAGUAAAGAUCAGGAUCUGAAUGUACUGCUGAUUGUAUCCAAACCUGUGCCAAAUAAAACAGAACUGUUGCUGUAAUAACUUAAUAUAACUGUAAGUGACUUCAUAUUUAGAACAAUAUACAUAAUUUUCUGGUCAGAAGUAAUUAUAGUAAGCAUACAUAUUUGCGCAAAAGUGGUAUUCUUGUGGAGGAAGAAAAUCCCUAAAUUUUCAUUUAAAUUCAGUGUGCGACUAUAUUGUGCAUUAAUAAUCCUAAAAUAAGAAUGAUGAUGCUUUUAUUUUUUUAGCUAUUAACAAGAAGAUGAAGCUAUGUAAUUCUAAGAAUGCUUAGUUGCACUAUGAAAUGACAAUCUAAUGAUAUCUGCUGAAAAGUAUGGGUAUUUUUUAACCUUAUCUUCCUAGCUGUAUGUUUCUGCUGUUUUCGUUGCACUACUACUUGCCUGAUUUUCUAGCAGGCUUGUUCAGAAAAAUGAGCCAGUGGACAACUGAUUGUUUCUAGUUGAUGAAAAAUAGGGGGAAGGCUCUGUUUGCUCCUUGAACUGGCUUAUUGUGAGGUGGGUUUGAUUCCACUAUAUGGAGCAGAGAAGGAGGGAAGAAAGGAAUUUUUCCCUUUUGGCAGGAAUUAACUGUUCUGUUUUUCUGUAAUGGGGAAAUCUGACCAUCCUGAAGCUAUUCUAUAACUGAAUCAUCAUAACGAAACUCUGUGAUGUGAUGCUUUCAGAGUCCAGAGAAAAUUGUCCAAACCAGGAGAUAAAAAAAUUAGGAAUUUAAAAUGAAUAAGCAUGUUAGUCUCACUGGAGUGAGACUAGCUCUGGGUGAGCUUACUGGGAACUCUUUCUUAUGACCAGCUUUGGGGAGGAUACGAUAGAGAGAUUUAGUUCAUGCCACUAAUGGUAUGCAAUAGUUGAUGGAAAUUUGCUGUGGUAACAGGGAACUGUUACUUCUGUGCAUUUUCAUCUUGGCAGGAGAGCCAAACCAUUUGUUAAACACAGCAGGAGAGUGGUUUAUUUUGAAACUCCCUCCAGUUUUGUUUUCAUGGUGGGAGGUAUUCUCAGCCAGAGUUUUCUUUGGGAAAAUUGCAAAAUGUUUAGGUAACAAUGUAUUCGUUGUCUAUUUGUCUAAGGCAACUAGAGGCCAUUAUGAUCCAAUAUAUGACACCACACUACAGUCGAGUGCAUGUUAUCCAUAGAAUUACGUAGUAAUUACCAUAUUGUACCUAUAAAUUUUUUGAGGUAUAGCAUAUUUUCCUCAGAAGAGGUAGUUUUGUUUUGAACUGUAAGUGGUAGAAAAUCUACCGCAUCCCUGAAUUUCAUUACUUAAUUAACCUCCCUAGGUUUUACAGCUUAAUUACACUCAAAAUUUACUGUCUUGUCCCACUAAAUGUGCUGAUCCUACACUUUAUUUAAGGCAAUGUAGGACACGUGGCAUGUGCUUUUCUAAAUUCUUACGUCCCAGGGCUGCAUUUGCCUUUCAGGAGAACAAUCAUUGCAUGUAGUAGUUUAGGAGGUUAAGGCAGAAAAGGCAAAGUGAAGGUAACUUCUCGUUCAUAUACUAAUGUCUCUUCUCUGUUCAGUUAUGCUUGUCUGCCAAUCUAGAAAAUUAGCUCUUUUUUGCCACCUAAUAUGGGGAAGAAAGAAUGGGCAGACUAGAGGAAAAACGGAUUUGGGGGUGGGUUUUUUUGUUUGCUUCAUUGUUUUCUGUUGUUGUUCGGAGAUAGUUUACAGGAUGGAGGAGAAGGUGACAGUUGGCAAUACAGCAUUAAGACUGUGUAAGUGGGGAGAGGCAUUCAUGUUUUUCAGGAUUUUCAACUUCUUGUGACAGUGUGAAAUUCAGCUACUUAAAUAGUAAAGGUUCCACUUAAAGUAAGGAGUCAAACCAAAGAUAUAUAUUCCAGUUACGGCAACAUUGAAACUGAUGAUGAAACCUAUGUUCUUUAUUGUAGCUUUACAUUUUAUUGUCUGUUUAGAUAGGAAUAGCUUUUGUCCAAGGCUGGUAAACUGUCCAGAUCAAAUGUGUAUUAAGAUUUGCAUGUUGAAGUACAGCUGUUUGCAGCAUAAGUAACCAAACUCAGCAUGGUGACUCAAAAUGAUUUCAAAAUGCAAAGGAAGGUGACAUGACCCAGUUUUCAUUAAAAACAGGCAAUAAAAAUCUCUGACUUAAUAUGGAUGUCAUGCAUGCUCUAUUAUAUGCAGAAAUUUCAACAGAGGAGACUAAGAAGAAAUAAAAAAUGCAAAAUGUGAAGAAAGAAGAUGCCAAAACCAAACUUACCAAGGAAAACAUAAUGGGAAGACUGUGGAGGAUGUUCGUGUCCAUAGAUCUAUGUCAUGGAUUUGGUGAUGAAGAUUUUCUCUUUUUUGGGAUGAGUUCUAAACAUACUUGAACUCUAAAAAUGUCCAUUCAAGACAGAGGUACAGGGAUUCAGAGUUGCUUUUCUGUUUCAGAGUACAGCACAGCACAAAAGGCUUCAUCUGGGAAACUGCAGUUCUGCAGACUUCUGAUGCUUGCAUGCCUGCAUAAUAACAUUAGUUUGUGUAGUCGAAUACUUUGUAGCUUUUGUUUUUAUGCUUGUGUUUCAAUAGUGUGUUAAGUUAAAUAAGUUCUGAAUGUUUAUAGCACAAGUAUUUUCUGCAUACAGAAGAUAUACUAUACUUGGAAGAUUGUACAAAUAAAAUCUGUCCUGCUUUGUGACAAUGAAACUCAAAUGUUUAAGUAGAGCAUACUGAAAAGGUGUUUGUGAUGUCUUAGUAAAAACUAUGGAAUUAAAGUUCUUUAAGACUACUUUUUUCCCUUUUUUUGGUAAUAAUCACUGACCAGGGAGAAAAAAUGUUAUGCUGAUCCGUUUUGUGUGUUUUUCCCCCUCUUAAAUCAUACCUUAUCAUAUUCUAAUUAGUGUGUUAUAAAAGAUAAUAGACAUAGCUGUCACAGGGAGUAGAGUAACAGAGAUCCUUACUACUGCUGGGUUAAAGCAAACUCACUGUUCCCCAAGAAGUGACACUUCUUCAGGGCUAGCUCUUUUAGGCAAAGUUUGUCUAGGUGUGACCUCAGUUCUCUGUCAGCAUGACAACAAUCUGGCAGUAGUGUCUCAACAGAAGAUACAGUUUUGAUACUCUAUACAUUUCUUACUGAUAAGUUGGAAAGUAUAAGCUCCUCCAGGUUGUCAGUAAGACUUUCACUGGAAAACAGAAAUGCAUUUCCUAGCGUAUGAAAGGCAAUGGCUUGUAGGAAUCCCUUCCCAAUAAUUCUGUUCUGUAGUAAUUUUUCACAAUCUAGAGGUACUCAUUCAGUCACAAUAAAGUGCAAGAGUCAGUGGAUUAGAAAAAGUCCAAACAUUGUGGUACAAGUAGAGCUAUUGGGGAUAGGAAAAUUGUAGUCUAAAUUUAUUAGGCUAAGAUUUCUCAUUCUGUGUUUAUGCGUUACUGAGUUGUGAUGCAUGGUUGGACCCUAGUCCUCAGAUGCUGUACAAGUAGAAGCUUUCUAGAGAGCUGUCUCAGAACAAUCACAAGAAUACAAAACUGAUGUACAUGACAACUGAAAAACUGGCAUGUGGUAACUGCCAUUGUGUGCUUCACCGACUGUAAAAACCUCUUGAAGCCUAAGAAUUGGGAGCAAAUAGAACAGUUCCAUUUGAACAAGAUUCUAGUGGUCUUUACGCUUGUAAUUCUGUUGCUUUCUAUAUGAAUUGCAUUUGUUCUCUUCCCUUCUUUCAACACUUAACUUCUGCUUCAUUUGAGAAGUAGUAUUUUCUUUUCCUGCUAAUCACUGGUCCCUUUAGAACAAGUAAAUGCAGUAAAACAGCGCUAACAGAGCUAUGGAACCAGUAAGUGUGUUAAGGGUGACUCCUGUGAAGUAUGAUGUCAAAGAUGAUCAUAAAGUAAAGCCAAUAAGGUCAGAAAGAUAGAAAAAAA